GGACCCGACUGCUAUCGGAUUGGGACUAAGCCAUGCAAGUCAACUCCGCAAGGGGUGGCGCACGGCUCAGUAACACGUAGUCAACCUACCCUAGGGACGGGGAUAACCUCGGGAAACUGAGGCUAAACCCCGAUAGGCUAUAACUUCUGGAAUGGGUUAGUAGCUGAAAUACUAUAUGGCCCUACGGAUGGGACUGCGGCCGAUCAGGUUGUUGGUGGGGUAAUGGCCCACCAAGCCUAUAACCGGUGCGGGCUCUGAGAGGAGGAGCCCGGACGAUGGGCGACUGAGACAAGGGCCCGAGGUCCUACGGGCGGCAGCAGGCGCGAUG
rnacentral:rRNA from 1 species